GGCAGGGUGGUUUAUUGCUUAGUACGUUUGCCUCAUACCGCUGGGGUUGGGGGUUUGAAUCCCGCCUCUGCUC